rnacentral:rRNA from 1 species
UACAGAGGUCUCAAGCGUUGUUCGGAUUCAUUGGGCGUAAAGGGCGCGUAGGCGGCGGGGUAAGUCGGGUGUGAAAUCUCAGAGCUCAACUCUGAAACUGCACUCGAUACUGCUCUGCUUGAGGACUGGAGAGGAGACCGGAAUUCACGGUGUAGCAGUGAAAUGCGUAGAUAUCGUGAGGAAGACCAGUGGCGAAGGCGGGUCUCUGGACAGUUCCUGACGCUGAGGCGCGAAGGCCAGGGGAGCAAACGGG